UGUGCCUCUAUUUAUUAUUCUCCAUUAGCAAUUCACUGAAAAAAGCAAAUACUGUUACAGCACAAAAUUAUUAUUUCCAAAGCAAUCUUGGCAACAAGUUAUAGUAACAACUUCAUAAUAAAAAGUCAAAGGUUAUUUCAAUUUCUUGCAGUUUUCUUCACUUUAAUUAUAAAAGAAAAUAAUUCACUCUUCACCAAGCUUUUACAUUUAAAUAAAAUACCCAGUCCAAAUAACCUUCUUUUUUAUUUGCAAAUGCAAAGAUUUGUCAAUAAUAAAUAAUACUAUAAAAUGUACACAAAAGGUUUGAGAAUUCACCACAAGGUAAAACAUAGACGUGGUAGGGGGGUGUUUGGGGGAGGAGCUGAAGUUGUAGGAAGGGUGUUUUAGCAGAAUGUGAGGGUUGGGUUCAUACAAGUCACAUAAAAGCUGGUCAUCUAUACAUCAACACUAGCAACAUAACAAAGUUGUUUUUUGUCAAUUUUCUUUUGUACAAAGUGGGGUCUUACACGCAAGCGUCAUCGUCUGCACUGUGGAGAACACAAGCGAGAGUUAAGGCAGCUUUUCCGUUCACAUUUGAAAAGUGACAUGAGCAUUUUUUUUUUCUUUUUUUUGUAUUCCUUCUCUCAAUCAAUGUUUUCAUGUAGGAAGUCGCCAUGACAUAUGCAUCUUAGACUGUUGACCUAGCAUGUUUACUUGAAUUGCUUAGGUGGUGGAUCUUUUUAAAUUCUUCAUCCCUCUACCAUGAAAUAGAUAAUUAAUCCCACAUAAUUCUGUUGGUUGCAUUUGCAAGACUGGAGAUGCUGGCAAUAAAGGGGUGAAUCAGCCUUUUGUUUACAAUGAUGAAGGUUAUAUUAAGGUGUGUAUUGCAUUGUAUGUGUGUUAAGUUCAGGGCCAUUCAAAGGUCUAUGUAAGUGUUGGUAGGGAACUCUGCUAUAGAAAAUCAGAGUUGUAUUUUCAGUUACACUGUGUUGGCAGCAAGUCAUAUUCACCCUGACACCUAGUGGCAAUUCUUAGCUUCACAGAUAUUUAUUUUUCAUCCAGAUGCCUCUAGCCCAACAGACAGGACAACAAUGGUUGGGGGAGAUCAGUUGCAUGUGUUUACACACAGACCCACACACAAUUCUGCUGUCAGACAGAAGCCUGACCUGUUUUAUUGUCUCAGUUUCAAUUGUCUCUCACAUCUGUCAAAAACCGCAGAUACUACACGUGUACAGUUUCAGGGCUAUAUUUAUCCAAGUAUCUCUGGUUCGUUUUACAUAAAGUGGUGAAAUGAAGUAAAAUUGAAUGAAGGAAUGGAAAAUAUUUCUCAGCAUUUUUUUCUUGUGAUCUCAGAUUUUGGUUGAAAUCACUGAAUGCAACAAUUGAAGCAAUUUGAAGCAAAUUAACCGCUACUCUUGGAUUGUGCGGUAUGAGGACUGCAGAAGGCUAUCUGGCUGAUUCUGAAAAUGUUUUUAUUUAAUAAUUAUUAAAAAGAAGAGACUGGAUAUUCAAGGCAAUAAUUACUGUGAAACAGAAUCCUCUUCUUGGCACGGAAAAGGCAGAGCCUUAAUGCUUGACUAUCAACACGCUUCAGAUUGUGUUGCAGUGCUUACUCUGAGUCAACAGUCUCUAAUCUGAACAUUGGUCUCUAGUUCCACCUGCUUGGCAUACAAAGACAGUGUGGCAAACGCUGCUGUCACCUGGGAGGGAGUCAAUAAAGCGGAGUUGGAACAAUACAUGGAUGGAGAGAGAACGUACACUACCAAUCAAAAGAUUGGAAUCAUGUACCCAUUCAACUGAAUUAGUGUGUCCAAACCUUUAAGUCACACUGGAUCUCCAAACUUAAUUUUAGUUAGCGUGUGCAUACAUGCAUGCAUGUGAGCAAGUUAAAGAGGGCAUCAAGGAGGGUGGUGAGUCAUUGCUUUUAAUACGUGUGUAUGUGUGUGCGCGCAUACAUGUAGUGCUAUACGUUACCUUGAAUUAAUCAAAAGCUAUUUUAGGCUCAGGGGUUAAGAUUACAGUAAGGGUGACAUUUAGGUUUUAAGAUGUUGUGGUUACAGUUAGGGUAAGUGCUGGGGAAAAACAUUUGUUUUAAAAUGUAAAUCUAGUGUUACUCCUUGCAAGCAUAGCACUUUAAGUGCGUGUGUUUCAAAUGCACUUGUGUGUAACUACCAUUUAUUUAGUACAACAUGCAAACCAUAGCUCUAGCUGGUGGUGGCAUUGCACUUCCCAUCAGUUCAGAGGAAAAGUUCACACAAGGAAUAAAGAGACGGAGAAUGUAGUUGGUAAGAAAGUGAAUAUUUUGUCUGGACAGUAGCUAUUUUGAUGUGGAAAGAAGUCUAUGUUGAGGAAUCACUGCACCAAAAGUUUUAAAAAUGUGUAUUUGGCCUGACUGAAGCAACAUGUUAUAAUUUCUCAGGGAAAUCAGCAACUGUAAGGUUGUGUGUGGUAAGCUUGUUGUCAAUUUGGAAAACUUUCAGUUACAGUAAGUGCUACUCGUUUUUGGCAAUAAUACGUCAGAUUUGUCACAAUUCUUCUCAGUCCUUCACAAUAUAAUGGUUUACAGUCAUUUAGAACGAGAUGGGGAAGUAAAAUGAUUCCCAUCCUCUAUAUUUAAUGUUUCAUGUUAAUAGUAUUGUAUAAUCUGUAGUUUAUGUUGACUUUGUGUCUGUAUUCUGUUUGUACAUUGUGCAUUGCUGUCAGCACCUGUUCACAAGUCAAACUCCUGGUAUGUGUAAAUGCACUUGGUGAAUAAAAUGAUUCUGAUAUCAUAACGUAAAUAUGACGACCUAUGACAACAUGUGACAGAUUAAGGAGCUGAUUCUUUUGUUUCAGUAGUUUGACUUUACAAAUAGUUCUACAGUACGUUCGGACCAGUGUUUCUAGAUCAUUAUCUAUGAGAGACAAGUAAAUAUGAUUGUAAGAGAGCCAGCUUUGUUUGUAAUUGGUAAAUCCUAGUGCAACGUUACAACCCUGAGCACUAGUGAUGACACAAUGCUAAUGGCUGUGGUCUCAACUCUCGAGUGACGCAAUCCUUUCUGGCGUGAUGAUCAGCAGUCAUUGUUUAGCUUCCAUUAUGAAAGUGACCCCAUUGCCAUAACCUUACUGUAAGCAUCAGAGAUGUGGCUGAAGAUACUGUCUAUUAUUAUGAUUAUGGUGUUAUUUUUUUAAACAUUUUUUUUUUUAUAGCAGUGAUGAUUAGAAGCAGAAUAACACAUCUGAUUCUGUCUGCCCAAGGGCUUGCCGAGAAGCAAAAUGGCUUCUACGAUAGCAGAGAUUGCACAUUGUCCUCACUCACCCACCGUUGUUUGCUGGUGAGGUCUCUACUCUGUUGUCCACUAAACUGUGAGUGAAGAUAAACUUAAAACAUCUUUUAUUACCAUGAAACCAACCAAAGAUCCGUCCAGUAGUGCCAUGGUUUCCUUCUAUUGAAGAUGUCCUCACUGCUCCACCAGAGAAAGAUUUGUGAUGCCAUUUCCAGGGAUUGAGACCUCGAUAGAACAAGUCCAUUAAUGCUCUUCUUUUCCCUUGUUCUGAUUCCUCAACAUGUGAGGCUCAGAAAUUGGCUCUGUUGGAUUGUUAACUUGUAUUAUCAGAUGUCUCUUUUUGGUUACCAGUACAAAAUGAUCGGUCACCAUCAAUAGCGAGAUGGGGGUUGGUGGUCAGUAUUUUUUGCUGGUUGUGAUCAUGCAAAAAAAAUGGGGUGGGUAAGUAUGAGUUUAGCCUGAAUUUCUUGCCACAAAAAUGCUCCACCUUUUACUCUUGAAUGAACAAUCUAAAAAGGCUAGAGUAACUUAGGCCUUUCCCAGCAAAAAAAUAAUUGCUGGUACAUAUUUUGGCUUAGUAUUGUGGCUUAUCAGUCUGACAGCGAAUAUCUGACAGGGAAUUUGCUUUGGAAACUAGAUGGGGCAAUGUGGGCUAAAGGAAUGUCUCAAGAGAAAAUAAGACUUCUGGUCUGACUGGGUCAAUACUGAAAGCCUCUUCCACUGGUCCAGGGAUUUUUGGGGUUGGGCUAUGCUGAAUGGUCAAUAUUGGGGUGGCAAGGCUAGACUUUUGAGUGCUGGUCGGCUGGGAGACAGUUCUGUGGAGGAACGAGGGGUGGAUGGUAAUAGGCUAGUGUUGUCAAAACCUUCAUCAGUCUCCCUCAUUCUGUUGGCAAGAUACUGCCAGCUGAAAUAUGAAACAAGAAAGAAGAUCCAGAAUUAGACAUCUUGGCUCAGACUCUGAGAAUUAAAAAAAAAUUACCGGCAGAAAAUCUGCUUGACUAAAAUAGUAUUAGCAUGUUAUAAGCUCCAAGUACAUUUUGCCUCAUGAUGGUACAUUUAUCUUAGCACCCCCUCUCAGAUCAGGUUAUAAGCUAAAGCAAGGGCAUCAGUGAUAAGGAAAUAUUUCAACUGAUUUAUGUAGACCAUGAAAGUACAUUUUGAGUAACAUUUCUGUGGUAUUCAAAUAAUAUACUUAAGUACAGUAAUAAAGCAUGAGUCUGGCAUUGCCAAUAUACCACUGCUAAGGACUGUACUUAGGCCUGAUGGACAACAGGUAUAUUGGUCAUGCCACAAUCCCUGAAAUGCCUUACUGUUAUAUUAUAAACUGGUAACCAACACAAUUAGAAAAGUGAAAAUAAAAUAUACAAACAGGGUGUUUUGAAUCAUGAAAGCUGAUUGGGUCUGAGCCAUGGUAUAUUAAACCAAAUACCAGAGGCAUGACAUCACAUAUUACUGCACUAAUUGAGUUAGUAACCAGUUUAUGAAUGUAAUAUGACAUCUCGGGUGUUUGUGAUAUAUUGCCAAUAUACCACAGCUAAGCGUUGUGUUCAGGUAUGCCUGAGAAUAGCUCUUAGCCAUGGUAUAUUGGCCAUAUAUCACAUUAAAAAAACAUUGUGCCUUAUUGCUUACAUAUGACAUUACUUUCAG
ensembl:lncRNA